GAUGAACGCUGGCGGUAUGCCUAACACAUGCAAGUCGUACGAGAGUUUUUAACUCUAGUGGCGGACGGGUGAGUAACACGUGAGAAUUUGCCUUUAGGAGGGGGACAACAAUUGGAAACGAAUGCUAAUACCCCAUAUGCUUUCGAGUGAAAUGGAUUUUAUCCGCCUAGAGAGAAGCCUCGCGGCUGAUUAGCUUGUUGGUAAGGUAAGAGCUUACCAAGGCGACGAUCAGUAUCUGGUUUGAGAGGACGAUCAGACACACUGGAACUGAGACACGGUCCAGACUCCUACGGGAGGCAGCAGUGGGGAAUAUUGGGACAAUGGGCGCAAGCCUGAUCCAGCCAUGCCGCGUGUGUGAGAAGGCCUCGGUUGUAAG
rnacentral:rRNA from 1 species